rnacentral:rRNA from 1 species
UACAGAGGUCUCAAGCGUUGUUCGGAUUCAUUGGGCGUAAAGGGUGCGUAGGCGGCGCGGUAAGUCGGGUGUGAAAUCUCGGGGCUUAACUCCGAAACUGCAUUCGAUACUGCCGUGCUUGAGGACUGGAGAGGAGACUGGAAUUUACGGUGUAGCGGUGAAAUGCGUAGAUAUCAGGAGGAACACCGGUGGCGAAGGCGGGUCUCUGGGCAGUAACUGACGCUGAGGAGCGAAAGCGUGGGGAGCAAACAGG